rnacentral:rRNA from 1 species
AUUGAACGCUGGCGGCAUGCCUUACACAUGCAAGUCGAACGGCAGCACGGGAGCAAUCCUGGUGGCGAGUGGCGAACGGGUGAGUAAUAUAUCGGAACGUGCCCGGUCGUGGGGGAUAACGUAGCGAAAGCUACGCUAAUACCGCAUACGAUCUACGGAUGAAAGCGGGGGAUCGCAAGACCUCGCGCGAUUGGAGCGGCCGAUAUCAGAUUAGGUAGUUGGUGAGGUAAAGGCUCACCAAGCCGACGAUCUGUAGCUGGUCUGAGAGGACGACCAGCCACACUGGGACUGAGACACGGCCCAGACUCCUACGGGAGGCAGCAGUGGGGAAUUUUGGACAAUGGGCGGCAAGCCUGAUCCAGCAAUGCCGCGUGCAGGAUGAAGG